rnacentral:misc_RNA from 1 species
AAGUCGUAACAAGGUUUCCGUAGGUGAACCUGCGGAAGGAUCAUUAGCGAAGUUCGGAAUGCAUGUUCGAUGUUGAUGCUGCCCAGCAAUGGGAUGUGCUCGCUCGGAUGUGUGUCCCUUCUCUAUCCACCCCAUUGUGAACCAAGUGUGUGAGCCGAAGAGAAAUCGGACGCUCGCAUACAAACCUUUAACAUACCCCAAUGAAGUAUCAGAAUGUACCUUGCGUUAACUCGCACAAAUAUAACUUUCAACAACGGAUCUCUUGGCUCUC